UACGUAGGGUGCGAGCGUUAAUCGGAAUUACUGGGCGUAAAGCGUGCGUAGGCGGUUCGUUAUGUCUGCUGUGAAAGCCCCGGGCUUAACCUGGGAAUGGCAGUGGAAACUGGCGGGCUUGAGUGUGGCAGAGGGGGGUGGAAUUCCGCGUGUAGCAGUGAAAUGCGUAGAGAUCAUGAGGAAGACCAGUGGCGAAGGCGGGUCUCUGGACAGUUCCUGACACUGAGGCACGAAGGCCAGGGGAGCAAACGGG
rnacentral:rRNA from 1 species